rnacentral:rRNA from 1 species
CCUCGGGGGGCAGCAGUGGGGAAUAUUGGACAAUGGGCGAAAGCCUGAUCCAGCCAUGCCGCGUGUGUGAAGAAGGCCUUCGGGUUGUAAAGCACUUUCAGUGGGGAAGAAAGCCUUGGGGCUAAUACCCUCGAGGAAGGACAUCACCCACAGAAGAAGCACCGGCGUAACUCCGUGCCAGCAGCCGCGGUAAUACGGAGGGUGCGAGCGUUAAUCGGAAUUACUGGGCGUAAAGCGCGCGUAGGCGGUCUGAUAAGCCGGUUGUGAAAGCCCCGGGCUCAACCUGGGAACGGCAUCCGGAACUGUCAGGCGAGAGUGCAGGAGAGGAAGGUAGAAUUCCCGGUGUAGCGGUGAAAUGCGUAGAGAUCGGGAGGAAUACCAGUGGCGAAGGCGGCCUUCUGGACUGACACUGACGCUGAGGUGCGAAAGCGUGGGUAGCAAACAGGAUUAGAUACCCUAGUAGUC